GCAGUGGGCAAUGCUGAGGUAGCUCAGGACGGGAUGGCACUCACGUGUGGUUUCAAAGGGAAAUGCUGAGGUACCUUGAGGAAUGGACGCUGGGCUGGGAACUAUGAACACAUCAGGUUGGUUCAGAGAGUGUUCAUGACAGAAAUUUGUGCAGUGAAGGAUUCCAGCAAAGAGAGGGAGAAGAGCCAAACUUAGAUCAGGCCUCCUAGGCCGCCUGCAGGUUUGGGGACAGGGAUGACGAGGUUGUUAAUCCGGUCCUAACUGUUUCUUUCUCUGUCCCUCUCUUGCAGCACCUGACUGAAUGGAGGAGCAAGUGGACGGGAAGCUCCUGCGCCACACACAGAUCACAUUUGUUACUCUCGCCCUCAGAGACCCGGAGAUCCAAACCGUUCGCAUGGUGCCUUGAAGCAGCCUGUGCUCACGCGCUUCUCCCAGGGAGAAGGCGGAAUGGCAGUGACUGGCCACGUUGAGCCACAGGGUGCACACUCUGCAGCUGUCAAGCCCAGCUCUGCGUCAGCUCACACCUGCGAUUUUGCGCCGCACACGCGGAUUUGAGUUGUCGCUGGUUGUUGCAGCGUUUGGCUUUGGUGAGGACAGCGUGUGUUUGUCAGCAGAUGGUGUAGGUGGAAUCUUGAGGAGAUUUGUACUGAGCUGUGACAUCUCUAACCCGUGGAACUGGGGUCCAGCAAGUACCAAAGAGCAGGUGGAGCAGCGUGCAAAGGAAAAGCAAGGAAGGAGGUGAACCUGUGAGGAAGAGUGAUGGAUAAAGAGGGUUGGAGCGCACCUGCCAGUCAAGAGGGAUCAAGAGAGAAGACACCGGUGGUGGAACCGCAGGUCAGGAGAGCUCAGGUUCAGAGCCCGAGCCUCAAUUGGUUGUAUCUGUAAACAUCAAACAUCUCAGCAUGAAUCACAACUGCAUUUCUCACGACAGAAGUGCCUGAACUGCACAGCUUGCCUGGCAGUGCAGAGAGCAGGAAGUGUGGUGAGUCCUGGG